AUACGGAGGGUGCGAGCGUUAAUCGGAAUUACUGGGCGUAAAGCGCGCGUAGGCGGUUUGUUAAGUCGGAUGUGAAAUCCCCGGGCUCAACCUGGGGCCUGCAUCCGAUACUGGCAGGCUAGAGUCUGGUAGAGGGGGGUAGAAUUCCUGGUGUAGCGGUGAAAUGCGUAGAUAUCAGGAGGAAUACCAGUGGCGAAGGCGGCCCCCUGGACUGAGACUGACGCUGAGGUGCGAAAGCGUGGGGAGCAAACAGGAUUAGAAACCCCAGUAGUCC
rnacentral:rRNA from 1 species